UGGAGAUAGAUGAUAAAAAUCUUCAUUCUUAUUGGUCAAAAAUCAUGCCCAAUGGGCUUCAAGGAGGUUGCUCAAGGCCUUAUUAGUAAUUAGGAUUACUCAUUUGAGGUCAUUUGAGCUUUGGAAGCUAGAAUCAACAAGUUUAGGAUUUUGGCUAUAGUUUUGAUACAAAGUUUGUGUGAUUUGGAGUUUAUAUGAAAGAGAUAUGGGCACUCAAAGUUAAGGUAAUGAUUUUAUACCUACUCAUAUUCUUUUGGACAUAAUGCAUGUGUACAAAAAGCAAUAAAAGAUUGGCAAGUGGAGUUGAAGAGAGUAUUUUUUUUUAAUUAUACUUUUUACAUAUUAUUUGAUAAAUUUCAAGUUUAGAUAAAGGAGAUAUAAGAAGUUGGAACUAGCAC
rnacentral:lncRNA from 1 species